CAGUAGCCGCGGGAAUACGUAGGUGGCGAGCGUUGUCCGGAAUUAUUGGGCGUAAAGGGAGCGCAGGCGGGCGAGUAAGUCUUUCUUAAAAGUGCGGGGCUCAACCCCGUGAGGGGAGAGAAACUACUCAUCUUGAGUGCAGGAGAGGAAAGCGGAAUUCCUAGUGUAGCGGUGAAAUGCGUAGAUAUUUGGAAGAACACCAGUGGCGAAGGCGACUUUCUGGACGAAAACUGACGCUGAGGCGCGAAAGCCAGGGGAGCGAACGGGAUUAGAUACCCCAGUAGUCCCUGUCUCUUAUACA
rnacentral:rRNA from 1 species